UACGGGGGGGGCAAGCGUUGUUCGGAAUUACUGGGCGUAAAGGGUACGUAGGCGGUUGUUUAAGUUUGGUGUGAAAUCUCCCGGCUCAACUGGGAGGGUGCGCCGAAUACUGAAUGACUAGAGUGCGGGAGAGGAGAGUGGAAUUCCUGGUGUAGCGGUGAAAUGCGUAGAUAUCAGGAGGAACACCGGUGGUGUAGACGGCUCUCUGGACCGUAACUGACGCUGAGGCACGAAAGCGUGGGUAGCAAACAGG
rnacentral:rRNA from 1 species